ensembl:lincRNA
UAAAAAUACUACAUGGUAUCAUGUAUUUAUUGUAUUAAAUGUUGUGAUAUUAUAUACUUAGUCAUAUACUAUUAUAUUUAUUAUAUAAAUUACUAUACAGUGUUAUAUAUUUAUAGUCAUAUACUGUAUGCACUAUAUAAUGCUAUUAUAUAUACAGCCCACCAGGCUCCUCUGUCCAUGGAAUUCUCCAGGCAAGAAUACUGGAGUGGGUAGUAAUUCCCUUCUGAAGGGGAUCUUCUAGACCCAGGGACUGAACCACCAGGGAAGCCCAGAUGUUUAUGGAAGCUCCAGAGACACGAGAAUCUCUGGAACUGAAGCUCUGCAAAGCUGAGAGUCUGCGUUUCUCCUCCUGCGCUCAGACAUAUGCACUGCAUGCCCAGACACAACAGAUGGCUGGUUCCCUGCACACAAACCAGCCCUGGAGAAAGGCACUGGGCAGAGCAGAGGAGAAAGAGCAUCUCCACACCCGCGUCCCCCACUCCUUGAAGAAAAGGUUCCUAUUACUUCUCUUCCUUGACAACAAGGAACCAGCUAGACUCUGGGGGCGCCCUCUAAACCUAAUCGGUAUUCUAAGUUUCUUCUUGGAAAUGUUCGCUCUGCAGCCCCACAAGAAAGCUACAGGUUAAGGAGAUAGACCUAAUUAUUUAUUUUUCCCUGGGAGAAGGGUGGUGAUUGGGAGUGCUGAAUUACAGAAACCCUUUAUCCAUUGAAGACAGUGGGUACUUCAGCUAAGCCAGUGGGCUCGUGUGCAUGUAGUCCAGCUCCCCAGAGUCACACAGCAUGCUCUAACUUAUCAAAGCACAGGGAAAAAAAACCUUUGCUACCAGUAAACUUGGUGAAAUAUAUUACUAGGAGCUAUAUUCCAUAUGCUGAAUGUACAUAUAAAAUACAACUCUAUUUAUAAAAUCUUUUUCCUGCUCCUUUUCCCAAAAUAUUCUACUUCUCAAACUGAGCAGAUGGGGGUCUCUUUUCCCCUCUUUGGCAGCUCUGAAACCUUGAGGAAUUUCAAGGUAUCUGUCUAUAGGAUACUUGUUGUAUGAGUGUUCAUUACUUGAAUUCAGAUAGUCAUGGCUGUGCAAAAGUCUCAAAAAUAUUCAAGAAGCUGGUUGUUAUGAAUUUAGUCUCCACCAAGGUAAUUACCCUGUUUCCUCCCAUCUUGUGAAAAUAAUUUUUUGUUGUUUAAGCUAUCACUGAUUUUAUAAAAUGUUUUGUGCACGCACAAUCAGAAUGAGAAUACAAUGCUCAUCACCUAGAAAAUGAAACUGCAGUCUGGAGAAAGCUGCACAGUAUCAUGAAAAGUUGAUGAAAGUGAUGCUAAGAUUCCCUGGAAUCUCAUUCUGAGCCAUUGGCAAAGGAGGAUUAGGCUGAGUUAGGCCAAUUAACAAUUGAAAAAGAGAAAAUCAACAAGGAAGAUGAUUAGAAGCUUCAAAAGAGAAAUAUUUGAAUAUCAAAGGAUUAGAAAAAGCCUUGGGGGAAAAUGAUGAAUCUCUCAAAUAUUUUUACAAAAAUUACCUUCCUCCUAAUCAUGAUAUGAAAGUUAAAUGCAAAGUGAAGGAUUUCAUUUCAUUUGAUCAUACAAUUUUGUCAGAAAAAUUACUGUUGAAAAAUCAAGACCUGGCUCAUUUUCUGAUCAUUUUGUGAAUUAGCAUGCAGUUAAAAUUAUCAAAUAAAUUCUGACUAUAUAAGCUAAAAUAAACUUAUAUUCAUACACUUUAGUUUCAUUUACCAAACUGAACUUGCAUGCUCUCCUCUGGAAUUGUGUUGCUCUUUAAGGGAGAUUCACUUUUGAGUGGAUUUGAUUUCAUAUUAGAAUGUUGAGUGGUAGUUGAGGUAGCUACGGUUAUGUGUAGUAUCUGGAGCCAGGACAUCUGGGUUUUGAAUCCAAUUUUUGGUUUUGAAUCCAAACUGUUUGUUUAACAUGGGAAGGUUUUGACUUCCUGGUACCAGGCAUUCUUCAUCUCGAAAAUAGAAUUAUAACAGUUCUGUUUGAGCAGAGAAUUGAGAGCAAAGCAGAAGAUAUUAGACUGAGAGGAUCCAGCCCAUCCUUUGUGAUGAAGUGUGUGACUUCGUCCCUGGGUGUGGGGUCUAUACUUUCCAAGUAGGGAUGGCAUGUGAAAGUGAAAGUGAGGUCGCCAGUCGUGCCCGACUCUUUCUGACCCCAUGGACUGUAGCCCACCAGGCUCCUCUGUCCAUGGGAUUCUCCAGGCAAGAGUACUGGAGUGGCUUACCAUUUCCUUCUCCAGAGGCUCUUUCCGACCCAGGGAUUGAACCCACGUCUCCCACAUUGCAGGCAGACACUGUAACCUCUGAGCCACCAGGGAAGCCCUUUUCAGAACUUCUUUCUUGAAAAAGAAACAUUGUCCUAGUGACCUUCUUCUUUCUCUGUUCAACCAUCAAUUACUUCCAGAAGCCAUCCGGAUCAUUUCUCACGCUACACAAGAUGAGGUAGCCCUUCACUGAAAUCUCUAUGAUAUUAAUGACUGUCUCUGUAGCUUCUCUGGUUCAAUCCUUUCUUUGUCUUCUCCUCAUGUCUCUCUGAGCUAUGAGGAAACACACACACACACACACACACACACACACAGAGUCGUCUGGCAUAGGACAUCCCUAAGCAUUAUCAAUGAACCUCUGUCUCAAUAAGGCAGUCUGGGUGGCAAAAAGAACCUUGGAGUGAGAAGUACCGGCUGUAGAAGCUUAAAGGGCGUGCUAUUCUCUGAGCCUCAUUUUUCAUGGACUUUGGAGUGAAGAAGUUGAAUUUGCUAAACUCAGGGCUUGUUCAGCUAUAAUGCCUUGGAAGUUGAUAACACCGAUAAAAUUGAAGUGCUAAACAUGAAGAGACCUAUGGCUAAUUUUUUCUCAACUUAUAACAGGAAGUUAUCUGAAAUAGUGAUGAAGGGUCAUUUUUCUAUUCCAUCUUUGCCCACUGAUCAACUUUUGGGCUUGGUGGUCUCUCUAUUUAGGUCAACCUGGGUACUCUCUGCUCCACUUGUAAAACUUCAGCUAAGGUCACAGGGGUCACUAAUCCUUGUCUGAGGACUUGGUUCUCUGGCUGUCCACCCUAAUUAUUACAUCCAUUACUGGUUCUCUUUGUUGUGAGCUGCCAUCUACCAGAAAAUACACUAAAACAUUUUUUUUUUAUAUUAUACCAUGUAAUCCUUGCACAAACUCAGUGGAAUAGAAACCACUGUCCCCCUUUUAAGACUGAGACCAUUAAGACAAAGUAGGAUUGGAAAACGAUCAUAGAAGUCUAGUAGUAAAAUGCAGUUCGUGUUCGUACUCUCAUCUUUCUGGCCUCAAAGCCCAUGCUUUUAACCAUCAUGUUCCACACACUCCUAAGUUAUGUCUGUGCCCAUUUAUUGCACUGUGCCCAUUAUCUGGCAAUAUCAUAUAUUAAUAGAAAGAAUAUCUCUUCUUCCAAAUCACAAACCAUUCUCUCCUCACUUUUGUGUGUGCUAUGGGUGGACCUGGAUGCAUGUUUAAUUGCUAAGUCUUCUAAAGGGCUGCAAACAAGCAAAAGAAUUCAUAAGGGAGACAGGAUGGUGUAAGCUAUUGAAAAUAUGAGCUUUGAACGCCAGCUUUGAAAACUGGUUCUGGCACUUCCCAGCUAUGUGGUUUGGGCAUGCUAAUUAGCUGCCUGGUGCCUCGGUUUCCUUAUCUGUAAAACUUCCUACUUCAUAAGAUCAUAGUGAGAAUUAAUGAGCCAGUAAAUGUGAGAAAUUUAGAAUGAUGUCUUACACAUAUUAAAUAUUUUAUGUGUUAAAUAUUAUUAUCCUAUACACUUCUGAGAAUGUGAUUCAAAUGAAAUUUUCUCAACAAUGUUUUUCCAAAAUUCUUCCUUUGAAUGCCCGUUCUCUGUCAUCUCACUAAAAAAUUACAACAAAAUAAAUUAAAAUACCACCAUCAUAAGACAACAAUAACAGUACCAAAAGUUAGCUGUAGCUCUUUUAGCUUUCUAGUGUUAAAAAUAUCUAUUAAUCGAACAGACCACUCAUUUUCACAUGUACUAGACUUCAGUGGCAUAAAUCUUAAUUUUUAGAGACUUUUCAUUUAUGUGCAAAAUCAACAUCCUUUGACUCUUUGUCCUUUAGCUGUUAGGGGGCUCAUAGUCAUAUUCUGAAUCAGUUUUGCUAAUUGAUAACAGCAUGCAUGCUAGGUUGUUUCAGUUGUGUCCAAUCCUUUGCAGCCCCAUGGACUGCAGCCCUCCAGGGGUCUCUGUCCAUGGGAUGCUCCAGGCAAGAAUACUUGAAUGGAUUGCUGUUUCCUCCUCCAGGAGAUCUUCCUGACCCAGGGGUCGAACGCACCUCUCUUACGUCUCCUGCUCUGGCAGGCAGGUUCUGUACCACUAGCGUCACCUGGGAAGCCCCGGGAAGAGCAUAGGAGCUGCAUAAUUUUAAUUUUCCCUGAUCUUGUAUUUCCAUAUAAUGUUCAGAUUCCCUGAUUUUCUUUUUAAUCAGUUUGUGUUUUUGCCACUUCAUAGUUAAUGUUUUGGUUAAUCUCUUCACAUUCUCUGUCAAAGAGAAUAGAAUAGAAAUGAACUAAUAUUGUAAAGGCUAUAUUUGUCUUUGAAAUUCCAUAAUUUCUAGCACUGUUAUAUAUAUAUAUAAAGGGUUCAGAGAAGAUUGACUAGUUUUUGGUCAAGGAGAAAAAUCUUUGCCUCCACACAAAUAUACCAAAACCCAACUAUUUUUACCUUAUGGUUCUUAUGGUUCAACAUAAUACUGUCUCAAUAGUGGUUUUCUGUUUUUAAAAAAUGAAACUCAAUUCUGAAGUAUUGAUAAUAAAGGAAAAAAAUGUAUAUAUAUUUUCUUUCUUUGGAAAUUAAAAUUCCCUUUCUUGAAUGCCUGCUGCCCUCUCAACUUAUCAAUAGUGUUGGUUUGUUUAAUAAAUAUUGCACCUAUCUGCCUUGGCUCUAGUGUGGCAUGUAGCUGAUACCUUGAAGCAGUUACUUCCAACUACAUUUCAUAUUUAAUUUAUUACAUAAUUCUCCAUAAAUGAUUUUAUUGAUGAACUGUACAGUGUAAAAUUAUUAUUUGUUAAAGAUUUCACAGUACUUUUUAAAACUCAAUAGUUGCCACAAAAAAGAAAAUCCAUUCCUCUCUAAAGGCAUUUGAGAGGAAAAAAAAUCCAAGAUAAAGAACUUCACAGGAUUAAGGAUCUGUUCUGCUUGCAGUCAUCCUCUGUUUCACAUAAACACCAUAGCCUUAUUUCUCAAACAGGCUUUUAUUUAGGAAACAGAUAAGAGAGAGUCAGUUCAUUUCUACAAAUACCAAGAAUCCACCAUUGGUUAGGCUGAGGAUAAAAUGUUAAAAAGUAAUCAUAUUUCCUACCACUGGAGACGAGCCCAUGGGCUGAUGCUAGGGAGACAUACACAGUUUUCACUGGGAUGAGACAUGUUUUCAUUUUCUGUUUUUUUUUUUUUUUAAUUGAGGUUCAUGCUUCCUUUUGAUAACUAAAUGUCUU